rnacentral:rRNA from 1 species
UACGUAGGGGGCAAGCGUUGUCCGGAUUUAUUGGGCGUAAAGAGCUCGUAGGUGGUUUGGUAAGUCGGAUGUGAAAUCUCCAGGCUCAACUUGGGAACUGCAUCCGAUACUGGAUGGCUUGAAUUCGGGAGAGGGAUGCAGAAUUCCUGGUGUAGCGGUGAAAUGCGCAGAUAUCAGGAGGAACACCGGUGGCGAAGGCGGUUCUCUGGGCAUGACCUGACGCUGAGGAGCGAAAGUGUGGGGAGCGAACAGG